UGGAGGGCUCCAGUCCCAGUCUGGGUCUGCGGGCAGGCCAUCACAACCCAUGAAGUCCCUCAGGAUGGAUCUGGGGUAACCCGGCUCCACACGGAGCAGCUGGUUGUUGAACUUCCAGUACUCCUUCCCCUUAUAAAAAUUGAUCACAAGUGCCUGAAGCAGUGGGGAGAGUGGCUGUAGUGCAGCUGAGAAGUAAACAGAAAGACACACACACACACACACAAGUCCUUGUGAGUGAGUGAAUAAAUGAAGCACGAGGCUCUGAUUCCUCCAAGUGACAGAUGUCAUGUUAAUAUGCCUGAUGGACGGAUGUUUGUACCAGACGAGAACCCGUUCUGUUACCGUACUGAAAAUAGCCUGAAUGUCGCCCACUAUAAUGUAAUAAAAAAUGGUUAAGAAAUAUAUCACCUCAUCUCAGAAGACUUCACACCUACUUUAUUUCUGAUGUGUGUUUUCCAAGAAAAAUAUACAAUGCUGUACUGUGUGA